GACGAACGCUGGCGGCGUGCUUAACACAUGCAAGUCGAACGGAAAGGCCCUGCCUGCAGGGUACUCGAGUGGCGAACGGGUGAGUAACACGUGGGUGAUCUGCCCUGCACUUCGGGAUAAGCCUGGGUAACUGGGUCUAAUACCGGAUAGGAGCCAUUUUUAGUGUGAUGGUUGGAAAGUUUUUUCGGUGUAGGAUGAGCUCGCGGCCUAUCAGCUUGUUGGUGGGGUAAUGGCCUACCAAGGCGGCGACGGGUAGCCGGCCUGGGAGGGUGGCCGGCCACAUCGGGACUGAGAUACGGCCCAGACUCCGACGGGAGGCAGAAGUGGGGAAUAGUGCACAAUGGGCGCAAGCCUGAUGCAGCGACGCCGCGUGGGGGAUGACGGCCUUCGGGUUGUAAACUCCUUUCGCUAGGGACGAAGCUGUUUGUGACGGUACCUAGAUAAGAAGCACCGGCUAACUACGUG
rnacentral:rRNA from 1 species